rnacentral:rRNA from 1 species
CCUACGGGGGGCAGCAGUGGGGAAUAUUGGACAAUGGGGGGAACCCUGAUCCAGCCAUGCCGCGUGUGUGAAGAAGGCCCUCGGGUUGUAAAGCACUUUCAGUGAGGAAGAACGCCUGGUGGUUAAUACCCAUCAGGAAAGACAUCACUCACAGAAGAAGCACCGGCUAACUCCGUGUCAGCAGCCGCGGUAAUACGGAGUGUGCGAGCGUUAAUCGGAAUUACUGGGCGUAAAGCGCGCGUAGGUGGCUUGAUAAGCCGGUUGUGAAAGCCCCGGGCUCAACCUGGGAACGGCAUCCGGAACUGUCAAGCUAGAGUGCAGGAGAGGAAGGUAGAAUUCCCGGUGUAGCGGUGAAAUGCGUAGAGAUCGGGAGGAAUACCAGUGGCGAAGGCGGCCUUCUGGACUGACACUGACACUGAGGUGCGAAAGCGUGGGUAGCAAACAGGAUUAGAUACCCUGGUAGUC